rnacentral:miRNA from 1 species
GGUUGGUGCAAAAGUAACUGCGGUUUUUGCCAUGACCUUUAAUUGCGGCAAAAACUGCAAUUACUUUAGCUCCAA